CGAGUCGGCCAGACCAUCGCUGUGUCCCUUGUGGGCAUGGAGGAAAGUCCGGGCUCCAUAGGGCAGGUCGCCAGGUAACGCCUGGGAGGUGUGAGCCUACGGAUCAGUGCCACAGAGAAUAUACCGCCUAAGUCCGGCGCUUCGGUGGCGGAACGGUAAGGGUGAAAAGGUGCGGUAAGAGCGCACCGCGAACGCUGGUAACAGCGUCGGCAGGGAAAACCCCGACCGGAGCAAGACCAAAUAGGGGGGCGUUGAUGUGGCCCGCAGAGUCCCCGGGUAGGUUGCUUCAGCCAUGUGGUGACACAUGGCGCAGAUGAAUGAUGGUUCUCGACAGAACCCGGCUUAUCGGCUGACUCAACAU
rnacentral:RNase_P_RNA from 1 species